rnacentral:rRNA from 1 species
UACGUAGGGUGCGAGCGUUAAUCGGAAUUACUGGGCGUAAAGCGUGCGCAGGCGGUUUUGUAAGCCAGAUGUGAAAUCCCCGGGCUUAACCUGGGAAUGGCAUUUGGGACUGCAAGGCUGGAGUUUGGCAGAGGAGACUGGAAUUCCCGGUGUAGCAGUGAAAUGCGUAGAUAUCGGGAGGAAUACCGAUGGCGAAGGCAGGUCUCUGGGCUAUAACUGACGCUCAUGCACGAAAGCGUGGGGAGCAAAAGGG